rnacentral:lncRNA from 13 species
GUCAGAAACUCUUCUGGAAAUUUAUCUUAAUGCUUGUUUCAAGUCAAACUGUGCUACCCAAUCACUGAUUUGAAGCAGCCUUUGUGCUUUUAUAUUUCAUAUUCCUGCCUCAAGCCUUUUCCCCAGUGAUAGCCAAGAGCAACAUGAAGUCUUUGAAAUAGGGUUUACAGCCUUGUUUUUCUGUUACUAAUAUAGCAUGCUGUUCUCAUCAUCGGUCUGAUUUGGCUACUGACAUGGUGACAUGCUGGAAUGUUUCCUCAGAGAUCCAAGAGUAAAAAGGAAGCAACAACAACAAAAAAGCACAAAGAGUUCAGAACAAGUAGGUGCCUUCCAGUAAAGUCUACAUGAAGGAAUUGACUUCCUUGAAUGCCUUCAAAACCAAAUAUUUGCACUAUAGGACAGACAGACCCAUGGAAUACUCUCCUGAACCUCCAAUGUUUGUUUAAGCUGGCAUAAAAUCCUAGAAAAAUUCCAGCAAGGCUCCCUGUGGCCACCACCAUCCAGAAACAAAGCCCAGAUUCAUUACUGGCCCAUUACCUGAAGCCUUGACUGGUAAGUGAAAUGGCAGGGUUGACUUCAGCUCAAGAAUGAAUGUAUGGCUUCUUGGAGUAAUUAGGUUUUCC